UACGGAGGGGGCUAGCGUUGUUCGGAAUUACUGGGCGUAAAGGGCGCGUAGGCGGCGACUCUAGUCAGAUGUGAAAAGUCCUGGGCUUAACCUGGGGACUGCAUUUGAUACUGGGUGGCUUGAGUUCGGGAGAGGGAUGUGGAAUUCCAGGUGUAGCGGUGAAAUGCGUAGAUAAUCGUGGAGGAACACCGGUGGCGAAGGCGGCAUCCUGGACCGACACUGACGCUGAUGAGCGAAAGCC
rnacentral:rRNA from 1 species